rnacentral:rRNA from 1 species
GGAAGGAUAAGUCAGUGGUGAAAUCUUGCGGCUUAACCGUAAAAUUGCCAUUGAAACUGGUUUUUCUUGAGUGUGCUUGAGGUAGGCGGAAUGAGUAAUGUACCGGUGAAAUGCUUAGAUAUUACUCAGAACACCGAUUGCGUAGGCAGCUUACUAAGCCAUUACUGACGCUGAUGCACGAAAGCGUGGGUAGCAAACAGGAUUAGAUACCCUGGUAGUCCACGCAGUAAACGUUGAUUACUCGUUGUUGGCAAUACAUCGUCAGCGACUGAGCAAAAGCAUUAAGUAAUCCACCUGGGGAGUACGUCAGCAAUGAUGAAACUCAAAGGAAUUGACGGGGGCCCGCACAAGCGGAGGAACAUGUGGUUUAAUUCGAUGAUACGCGAGGAACCUUACCUGGGCUUAAAUGUUAAGUGCUAUACCGGGAGACCGGUUUUUCCUUCGGGACACUUUACAAGGUGCUGCAUGGUUGUCGUCAGCUCGUGCCGUGAGGUGUCGGGUUAAGUCCCAUAACGAGCGCAACCCCUAUUGCCAGUUGCCAGCACAUCAUGGUGGGAACUCUGGUAAAACUGCCGGUGCAAACCGCGAGGAAGGUGGGGAUGACGUCAAAUCAGCACGGCCCUUAUGUCCAGGGCUACACACGUGUUACAAUGGUCGGUACAACAGGAAGCUAUUCCGCGAGGAACCGCUAAUCCCGAAAGCCGAUCUUAGUUCGGAUCGGAGUCUGCAAUUCGACUCCGUGAAGCUGGAUUCGCUAGUAAUCGCAGAUCAGCCAUGCUGCGGUGAAUAUGUUCCCGGGCCUUGUACACACCGCCCGUCAAGCCAUGGAAGCCGGGGGUGCCUGAAGUCCGUAACCGAUAAGGAGCGGCCCAGGUAAACCGUAACUGGGGCUAAGUCGUNACAAG